rnacentral:rRNA from 1 species
GAGUUUUGAUCCUGGCUCAGGACGAACGCUGGCGGCGUGCCUAAUACAUGCAAGUCGAGCGGACAGAUGGGAGCUUGCUCCCUGAUGUUAGCGGCGGACGGGUGAGUAACACGUGGGUAACCUGCCUGUAAGACUGGGGUAACUCCGGGAAACCGGGGCUAAUACCGGAUGGUUGUUUGAACCGCAUGGUUCAGACAUAAAAGGUGGCUUCGGCUACCACUUACAGAUGGACCCGCGGCGCAUUAGCUAGUUGGUGAGGUAACGGCUCACCAAGGCGACGAUGCGUAGCCGACCUGAGAGGGUGAUCGGCCACACUGGGACUGAGACACGGCCCAGACUCCUACGGGAGGCAGCAGUAGGGAAUCUUCCGCAAUGGACGAAAGUCUGACGGAGCAACGCCGCGUGAGUGAUGAAGGUUUUCGGAUCGUAAAGCUCUGUUGUUAGGGAAGAACAAGUGCCGUUCAAAUAGGGCGGCACCUUGACGGUACCUAACCAGAAAGCCACGGCUAACUACGUGCCAGCAGCCGCGGUAAUACGUAGGUGGCAAGCGUUGUCCGGAAUUAUUGGGCGUAAAGGGCUCGCAGGCGGUUUCUUAAGUCUGAUGUGAAAGCCCCCGGCUCAACCGGGGAGGGUCAUUGGAAACUGGGGAACUUGAGUGCAGAAGAGGAGAGUGGAAUUCCACGUGUAGCGGUGAAAUGCGUAGAGAUGUGGAGGAACACCAGUGGCGAAGGCGACUCUCUGGUCUGUAACUGACGCUGAGGAGCGAAAGCGUGGGGAGCGAACAGGAUUAGAUACCCUGGUAGUCCACGCCGUAAACGAUGAGUGCUAAGUGUUAGGGGGUUUCCGCCCCUUAGUGCUGCAGCUAACGCAUUAAGCACUCCGCCUGGGGAGUACGGUCGCAAGACUGAAACUCAAAGGAAUUGACGGGGGCCCGCACAAGCGGUGGAGCAUGUGGUUUAAUUCGAAGCAACGCGAAGAACCUUACCAGGUCUUGACAUCCUCUGACAAUCCUAGAGAUAGGACGUCCCCUUCGGGGGCAGAGUGACAGGUGGUGCAUGGUUGUCGUCAGCUCGUGUCGUGAGAUGUUGGGUUAAGUCCCGCAACGAGCGCAACCCUUGAUCUUAGUUGCCAGCAUUCAGUUGGGCACUCUAAGGUGACUGCCGGUGACAAACCGGAGGAAAGGUGGGGAUGACGUCAAA